rnacentral:rRNA from 1 species
GUAGGUGGCAAGCGUUGUCCGGAAUUAUUGGGCGUAAAGCGCGCGCAGGCGGUUCUUUAAGUCUGAUGUGAAAGCCCACGGCUCAACCGUGGAGGGUCAUUGGAAACUGGAGGACUUGAGUACAGAAGAGGAAAGCGGAAUUCCACGUGUAGCGGUGAAAUGCGUAGAGAUGUGGAGGAACACCAGUGGCGAAGGCGGCUUUCUGGUCUGUAACUGACGCUGAGGCGCGAAAGCGUGGGGAGCAAACAGGGAUUAGAUACCCUGGUAGUCCACGCCGUAAACGAUGAGUGCUAAGUGUUAGGGGGUUUCCCGCCCCUUAGUGCUGCAGCUAACGCAUUAAGCACUCCGCCUGGGGAGUACGGCCGCAAGGCUG